rnacentral:lncRNA from 1 species
UCAAUGCAUGCAACUCGAUGCAUGAAAAACGUGAAACAUUACGUUAAUAAUAAAAGCUUUAGUAUAUUUCAGUUUCUCUCUCAUUAUUACUGUUCAUCUUCUCUUUCCUUGGCUCUGCCCUUUAUUACUCACUGUGGGAAUGCAGAACUUCAAAAUGGUAUCAGAGCGGGUCUAACCCGCUCUGCUCUCCUCUGCAAACUGGUUGUCUCUUAAACUCUGCUAUCUUAUCUUGCUCUCUUCGUUCUUCGUUUUUUUCCUUUUGCUUCUUGCUUUGUUUUUCCGACAAUGGCUGCCAGUAUACAAGAUUCAUUCAAGAAUGAUCUACAUGGCGCAAUUAUGGAAGAGGAAGAGGAAAGAAUUAUGGAAAACAAUGCUCCUUUUGCAAUAAAAUGAAUCACACGGCCGACGAGUGCUACUCAAAGCAUGGGUUCCCUCCUUGGAUCAAACAGAGAAUGGGUCAUGCUGCGAAUGCCAUGGAAAGUGAAGUGAGUAGUGAAACAGAGAAAGGAAAGAAUACACAUAAUGAUGCUUACAGUGAUCAAGUUCUAAAGGAUCUUGACUCUGAGCAAUUACGACAACUUGUGAAUAUGAUUCAAGACUGCAAAGGAAAACAGAAAGUGGUAAAUAACAGCAUUGGAGAUUUUUCAAAAGCAAGCAACAUGGGUAAGGAAGGUAAAAGUUUCUGGAUACUUGACACUGGGGCCACGGAUCAUGUAACAUGUUCUAUUUCUUCCUUUGUAAACUAUUACAAGAUAAAGCCUGUGAAUGUUAAACUACCUAAUAAUCAUGAUGUUAUUGCUACUCACGCUGGAACUAUCAUUUUGACUCAUAACAUUACUCUUCA